UACAGAGGGUGCGAGCGUUGUCCGGAAUCACUGGGCGUAAAGGGCGCGUAGGUGGCGACCCAAGUCGAUGGUGAAAGCUCGCCGCUCAACGGCGAGUCGGCCACUGAUACUGGGUUGCUGGAGCACUGUAGAGGCAGAUGGAAUUCCGGGUGUAGCGGUGGAAUGCGUAGAGAUCCGGAAGAACACCGGUGGCGAAGGCGGUCUGCUGGGCAGUUGCUGACACUGAGGCGUGACAGCGUGGGGAGCAAACAGG
rnacentral:rRNA from 1 species